rnacentral:lncRNA from 1 species
CACUCUUCUCUCAGCGGGCGCUCCACGGCCCUGCUCUGGGCUCGCCUGAGUGCUGGGCUCUGCAGACGCAGGGGUGGGCCAGAAGAGCCCCUCACCACGGAGGUAGCAGGUCCAGAGGAAGCAGCAGAGGCUUCCUGGAGGAGGCUUUUGUACCCCUAGGAGGACUAUGUCUUCCUCAUCUUUGUCUUCAGAGGAUAAAUACAAGGCCUGACACAUAAUAAGCAUUAGAUUAAUUUACCCAAGGUCAACCACGGUCCAAAGAUAUUAAAUGGAAAAUUCCAGAAAUAAACAAUUUGUAAGUUUUCAGUUGCAUGCUAUUCUGAGUAGCACAAUGAAAUCUCGUGCUGUCCGGCUUCGUCCCACCUGGGAUGUGAAUCAUCCCUUUGUCCAGUGGAUCCGCGCUAUAGACACUACUCUCCCAUCAGUCACUCAGCAGCUGCCUCAGUUACCAGAUCAACUGUCACAGGAUUGCAGUGCUUCUGUUCAAGUAAUCCUUAUUUUACUUCAUUAAGGGCCCCAAAGCGCAAGAGGAGUGUUGCUGGUGAUUCCAAUAUGCCAAAGGGAAGCU